rnacentral:rRNA from 1 species
AUUGAACGCUGGCGGCAUGCUUUACACAUGCAAGUCGAACGGUAACAGGGUGCUUGCACCGCUGACGAGUGGCGAACGGGUGAGUAAUGCGUCAGAACGUGCCGAGUAGUGGGGGAUAACGCAGCGAAAGUUGUGCUAAUACCGCAUACGUACUGAGGUAGAAAGUGGGGGACCUUCGGGCCUCACGCUAUUCGAGCGGCCGACGUCUGAUUAGCUAGUAGGUGAGGUAAAGGCUCACCUAGGCGACGAUCAGUAGCGGGUCUGAGAGGAUGAUCCGCCACACUGGGACUGAGACACGGCCCAGACUCCUACGGGAGGCAGCAGUGGGGAAUUUUGGACAAUGGGCGAAAGCCUGAUCCAGCCAUGGCGCGUGUCUGAAGAAGGCCUUCGGGUUGUAAAGGACUUUUGUCGGGGAGGAAAUCCCCAGCGUUAAUACCGCUGGGGGAUGACAGUACCUGAAGAAUAAGCACCGGCUAACUACGUGCCAGCCGCCGCAGUAAGAC